GAUCAUUAACGUAUUGAUUGGGCAUAAACCUUUGGCCUCCGUGCCACUGGUCCACUCCCUAAACCCUUUGUGAACCAAAACACCCUCUGCCUCGGCAGCAUUGCAGCCCAGCGCUGUGAGUCUGCCGGAGCUGAUUUAAAAACUUGUAUUUUUAAUCCAGUCUGAACCAUUCUGAAUUGAAUGAAAAUUAAAACUUUCCAACAACGGAUCUCUUGGUUCUCGCAUCGAUGAAGAACGCASCGAAACGCGAUAGUUAAUGUGAAUUGCAGAAUUCAGUGAAUCAUCGAGUCUUUGAACGCACAUUGCGCCCGUUGGUAUUCCGACGGGCACGUCUGUUUGAGCGUCAUGUCAAAACUCAACCACUCUCGGUUGGUACUGGGCCAUGGUAUCCCUUGGAACCUGGCCUUAAAGUAGCACGCUCUGCGGGCCUGCUGGUCUCCGAAAACAUAGUACAAAACGCCUUGUUUGAACGGGACUGGUCUGGCUACCGCCUGAACAAAUACCAAACUUCAAAGGUUUGACCUCAGAAUCANACGANGAUACCCGCUGAACUUAANCAUAUCAAUAA
rnacentral:rRNA from 1 species